rnacentral:rRNA from 1 species
AACGAACGUUAGCGGCGCGCCUAACACAUGCAAGUCGAGCGAGAAAGGGCUUCGGCCCCGGUAAAGCGGCGCACGGGUGAGUAACACGUGGGUAAUCUGCCCUCGAGUUGGGGAUAACAUUCCGAAAGGAGUGCUAAUACCGAAUAAGACCACGACCUCGAAAGAGGAUGCGGUCAAAGCUGGCCUCUUUACAAAAGCUAGCGCUUGAGGAUGAGCCCGCGGCGCAUCAGGUAGUUGGNGAGGUAACGGCUCACCAAGCCGAAGACGCGUAGCUGGUCUGAGAGGAUGAUCAGCCACACUGGAACUGAGACACGGUCCAGACUCCUACGGGAGGCAGCAGUGGGGAAUAUUGGACAAUGGGCGCAAGCCUGAUCCAGCGAUGCC